UUCGUAGGCGGUGUAGCAAGUCGGGAGUGAAAUCUUUGGGCUUAACCCAGAGGCUGCUUCCGAAACUGCCGUGCUUGAGUGUGGGAGAGGCGCGUGGAAUUGCAGGUGUAGCGGUGAAAUGCGUAGAUAUCUGCAGGAACACCCGUGGCGAAAGCGGCGCGCUGGACCACUACUGACGCUGAGGAACGAAAGCUAGGGGAGCAAACA
rnacentral:rRNA from 1 species